ACGAUGACAGGUUCAACCACGAAGCUACUUACAUGAUGACAGGUUCAACCACGAAGCUACUUACAUGAUGACAGGUUCAACCACGAAGCUACUUACACGAUGACAGGUUCAACCACGAAGCUACUUACAUGAUGACAGGUUCAACCACGAAGCUACUUACAUGAUGACAGGUUCAACCACGAAGCUACUUACAUGAUGACAGGUUCAACCACGAAGCUACUUACACGAUGACAGGUUCAACAACGAAGCUACUUACACGAUGACAGGUUCAACCACGACGCUGUUGGCAAGUUUGUUGUUGCUACUGCCACCAGCACCACCAGCAGCGUUGGCACCGUCAU